AAGUCCCCUUCGGGGGACAAGUAGAGUGGCGCACGGGUGAGUAACACGUAGGUAAUCUACCUUCGGGUGGGGAAUAACCCCGGGAAACCGGGGCUAAUACCGCAUAAUGCAGCGGCACCUAAUGGUGACAGUUGUUAAAGCGGGGGAUCGCAAGAUCUCGCGCCUGAAGAGGAGCCUGCGGCGGAUUAGCUAGUUGGCAGGGUAACGGCCUACCAAGGCGACGAUCCGUAGCCGGCCUGAGAGGGCGGUCGGCCACACUGACACUGACAUACGGGUCAGACUCCUACGGGAGGCAGCAGUCGGGAAUUUUGGGCAAUGGGCGAAAGCCUGACCCAGCAACGCCGCGUGAAGGAUGAAAUCCCUCGGGAUGUAAACUUCGCAAGAACGGGAAGAAUAAGUUUGUGCUAACACCACAAGCGAUGACGGUACUGUUUGUAAGCUCCGGCUAACUCCGUGCCAGCAGCCGCGGUAAUACGGGGGGAGCAAGCGUUGUUCGGAUUUACUGGGCGUAAAGGGCGCGUAGGCGGCCUCCGCAAGUCAGUUGUGAAAUCUCCGAGCUUAACUCGGAAAGGUCAACUGAUACUGCGGGGCUAGAGUGCGGAAGGGGCAACUGGAAUUCUUGGUGUAGCGGUGAAAUGCGUAGAUAUCAAGAGGAACACCUGCGGCGAAGGCGGGUUGCUGGGCCGACACUGACGCUGAGGCGCGAAAGCUAGGGGAGCGAACGGGAUUAGAUACCCCGGUAGUCCUAGCCUUAAACGAUGAAUGCUUGGUGUCUGGGGUUAUAUAG
rnacentral:rRNA from 1 species